UACGUAGGUGGCGAGCGUUGUCCGGAUUCAUUGGGUUUAAAGGGUGCGUAGGCGGCCCUGUAAGUCAGCGGUGAAAUACGGCAGCUCAACUGUCGAGGUGCCGUUGAUACUGCGGGGCUUGAGUGUUGACGAGGCGGGCGGAAUUGACGGUGUAGCGGUGAAAUGCGUAGAUAUCGUAAGGAAGACCAGUGGCGAAGGCGAGUUCCUGGACAGUUGCUGACACUGAGGCACGAAGGCUAGGGGAGCAAACGGG
rnacentral:rRNA from 1 species